AUUGAACGCUGGCGGCAGGCCUAACACAUGCAAGUCGAGCGAGCGGCGGACGGGUGAGUAAUGUCUGGGAAACUGCCUGAUGGAGGGGGAUAACUCCUGGAAACGCUAGCUAAUACCGCAUACCACCCGAUUUGCCCAGAGGGGAUUGGCUGGUAGGUGGGGUAACGGCUCACCUAGGCGACGAUCCCUAGCUGGUCUGCGAGGAUGACCAGCCACACGGGAACUGAGACACGGUCCAGACUCCUACGGGAGGCAGCAGUGGGGAAUAUUGCACAAUGGGCGCAAGCCUGAUGCAGCCAUGCCGCGUGUGUGAAGAAGGCCUUCGGGUUGUAAAGCACUUUCAGCGGGGAGGCGUUACCCGCAGAAGAAGCACCGGCUAACUCCGUGCCAGCAGCCGCGGUAAUUC
rnacentral:rRNA from 1 species